CUUUUUCUUCUUGGAAUCUCUGAUUUCCUUUACCAAUCCACUCUAGCACGUUCUAAUUUAGUUUCUUCCUGAUUUUUCUUCCCUAUCUGGCCAGUGGCCCAUUUUUUCCCUCCCUCUCCCAAAUUGGCAGGCUGACUCUGGGGUUUUGAGGCUCCAAGAGGAGAGAGUUCAAAAGGUCUGAUGCAUCCAUUUGAUUAUACAAUAUUUGGAGGAAGAGAAAGAAUCCAUCGCCUUUACUAUUUUAAUACAGUGCAUUGGGAAGAAGACCAAUGGCACCAAGGGACAAUGUCUUGACUUGCACUUGAAUUGGAUUUUCAUGAAGCAGAGCUGUACAAUGCCAUCAGCCUCAUUCUCUCUUCUAGAGUCAUAGAAGUCCAGUGGCAAGACAAAAGUCCAGAUGACUGGUGAUGGUCUGGGAUGAAAUGAAUGACUUUAUUGCCUUUGAUAACUGACCAAGCUCGAAGUACUUCAUCGUCUCUGCUUUAAACACCUUUAAACAUUAGAACAAAUUGUUCUUGUCCAUCCUUACUUUGUAAAUGAAUGUUUGAUUGAAUGAAGAAAUACAAAUAUAAAAAUGGAAACUUGUUUUCUUUAAGAAUGAAAGAAUCAUAUGAACAUAAAAUUUGGGGGCUAGAAAGGCUCUUGGAGAUCUAAUUUUC
rnacentral:lncRNA from 1 species